AAAUAUCAACUCGGCGUUUAAACCCGUCAUGCCUAUAGUCACAGGUACCCAAUGUAACAUGUCUGUGCCUGUUUUGAAAAGUCGUCAGAAAAAUCGCUUUAUCCAUCGCCUUGCUUGACGACUGGAAAAACUCACGUUACAAUGAUAAUACAAUUACUCAUCGUACUAUCUAUAUCAUUGAAACGCAGAAAAUAUAAUAUUAUUUUAAAUUGGUCCACGACCAUGCGGCAAGGUAUAGUUCGGCAAUAAGUUCAUAGUAUU